ensembl:lncRNA
UUUGGGGGGAAAAAGGGGGAUUUAGGGAAAAAUGGGAUUUUAGGGGAAAAAAUGGGGAUUUUGGGAAAAAAAAGGGAUUUUUUUGGGGAAAAAAAUGGGGUUUGGGGAAAAAAUGGGGAUUUUUGGAAAAAUGGGAUUUUUUGGGGGGAAAAAAGGGGGUUUGGGGAAAAAAAUGGGGAUUUUUUUUUGGUCUAAAAAGGGGAUUUUGGAGAGAAAAAAGGAGUUGAUUUAGGGAAAAAAAUUGAUUUUUAGAGGGUAAAAGAGGGGUUUGUAGGGAAAAAUUGGGGGUUUUGGGAAAAAGGGAUUUUUAGGGGGAAAAAGGAAAUUUUGGUGAGAAAAAGGAUUUUUAGAUUAUAAAAAGGGAGGUUUUGGAGAAAAAAGGACAUUUUUAGAGGAAAAAAAAAGGAGUUUUUUGGGAAAAAAAGGAAAGUUUUUUUGGGGAAAAAAGGAGAGUUUUUGGGGAAAAAAGGGGUUUUAGAGAGGAAAGUAUCAGCAUUUUGUGGGAAAAUACUUAUUUGGGCUUUUUUUCUGGGUUUUUUUUGGGGCAUUUUCAGGGGUUUUUGGGGUGGAUUUGGGGUUUUCCUUGGUUUUUUUUUUUGGGGUCAGUUUAGGGGAUUUUUGGAUUUUUCACUGGGUUUUUUUGGGGAAUUUUUGGGGUUUUUUGGGGAUUUCUUGGGGUGGUUUCAAGUUUUUUUGGGGCCGUUUCAGGGGUUUUUGGAUUUUUGGUUUUUUUGGGGUUAUUUGGGGGCUUUUCACAGGUUUUUUUGGGGCCGUUUCAGGGUUUUUCUCUGUGGUUUUUUCGGGGCAAUUUUGGUGUUUUCCUCGGUGGUUUUUUUGGGCACUUUCAUUGGUUUUUUUGGGGCAGUUCCAGAGUUUUUCUUGGGGUUUAUUUUUUGGGGCAGUUUCAGGGUUUUUCUCAGGGAUUUUUGGGGCGAUUUCAGGGGGUUUGGGGCAAUUUUUGGGUUUUUUUCUGGUUUUUUUUUUGCAUUCCAUCACACACAGACCCGGGGUUUAUUUUGGGGUGGUUUCAUGGUUUUUCUGUUUUUUGGGGCAGUUUCAGGUUUUUCUCAUUUUUUGGGGGCAUUUUGGGUUUUUCUGAGUUUUUUUCUCAUUCCACCACACCCAGACCCAGGGUUUGUUUUGGGGCAGUUUCAGGGUUUUUCUCUGGUUUUUUGGGGGCGAUUUUGGGGUUUUUUUGGGGCAGUUUUGGGUUUUUUUUUCUCAGUUUUUUCUCACUCCACCACACCCAGACCCGGGGUUUGUUUUGGGGGGGGGUCGGCCCCAGCCCCGUUUAUUUGAGGAGGGGGUGCAGAGUUGGUGGGGGAGGGGCUGCUCAGUUCUUGUAGCCCCGGCUGGCGCGGCGCCCCCGGGCGCGCUCGAACUUGGGGCCCUUGGAGCGCACGUAGGGCCUGGGGGGAGAGGGGGGUUAGCGACCCAAAACGGGCCAAAAUCGCCCCAAAACGCCCCCCGAAAAUACCAGCCCACACCCCCAAAUAUACCCCAAAAACCCGCCCAAAAAUUCCCCAAAUGUCCCCCAAAAUAUCCCCCAAAACCACCCCAAAGUGUCCCAAAAUAACCCCAAAGUGUCCCCAAAAAUAUCCCCAAAACCACCAGCC